rnacentral:rRNA from 1 species
GACGAACGCUGGCGGCGUGCUUAACACAUGCAAGUCGAACGGAAAGGCCCUGCUUUUGUCGGGUGCUCGAGUGGCGAACGGGUGAGUAACACGUGAGUAACCUGCCCUUGACUUUGGGAUAACUUCAGGUAACUGGGGCUAAUACCGGCUAGGAGCUCCUGCUGCAUGGUGGGGGUUGGAAAGUUUCGGCGGUUGGGGAUGGACUCGCGGCUUAUCAGCUUGUUGGUGGGGUAGUGGCUUACCAAGGCUUUGACGGGUAGCCGGCCUGAGAGGGUGACCGGCCACAUGGGGACUGAGAGACGGACCAGACGCCUACGGGAGGCAGCAGGGGGGAGUAUUGCACAAUGGGCGGAAGCCUAAUGCAGCAACGCCGCGUGCGGGAUGACGGCCUUCGGGUGGUAAACCGCGUUCGCCUGUGACGAAGCGUGAGUGACGGUAAUGGGUAAAGAAGCACCGGCUAACUACGUG